rnacentral:rRNA from 1 species
AGUGAACGCUGGCGGUAGGCCUAACACAUGCAAGUCGAACGGCAGCACAGUAAGAGCUUGCUCUUACGGGUGGCGAGUGGCGGACGGGUGAGGAAUACAUCGGAAUCUACUUUUUCGUGGGGGAUAACGUAGGGAAACUUACGCUAAUACCGCAUACGACCUACGGGUGAAAGCAGGGGAUCUUCGGACCUUGCGCGAUUGAAUGAGCCGAUGUCGGAUUAGCUAGUUGGCGGGGUAAAGGCCCACCAAGGCGACGAUCCGUAGCUGGUCUGAGAGGAUGAUCAGCCACACUGGAACUGAGACACGGUCCAGACUCCUACGGGAGGCAGCAGUGGGGAAUAUUGGACAAUGGGCGCAAGCCUGAUCCAGCCAUACCGCGUGGGUGAAGAAGGCCUUCGGGUUGUAAAGCCCUUUUGUUGGGAAAGAAAAGCGGCAGGUUAAUACCCCGCUGUUCUGACGGUACCCAAAGAAUAAGCACCGGCCAACUUCGUG